rnacentral:lncRNA from 1 species
GCCACCGCGGGGAGCCCAGGGUAUAGCAGUUGCCUGGAAACAGGCUGCUCUCGCGGCCCACACUCAGACCUUUGUCACCAUCUCAAGGACCUUUUUUUCCCUCUUCCUCCUUUCACGAUGGAGCCAGACCCUGCACGCAGCAGACACGGACUGAGGACUUCAUGUAUUCCAGAUUCUCCCCACAGCAACUGGAAGAAGUAGCUGACGUUGCUCUCCCCAUUUUACAGAUGUGAGAAUGGAAGAAGUUAAGAUGGAUCCAAGCCAGUUGAUGAGGAAACUGAGGCUCAGAGAGGGGAAGUAACUUACCCAAGACUGCACAGCAGUAAGCGGCAGAACCUGGACCCAGCCCCUGGCUCCAGACCCCCACUGCUCUGCUGACCUGCAGGGGCCUCGAAUCAACAUAAAGCCUUUCACCCCUAGCCUGCUCCUGUCUCAACCUCAACCUCCAGAGAACAUCCAUCCUCCAUGGAGCCUCCCAGCCUGAGCCCUCUGAGCUGCCUCCCUUCUUCUCUCCCCUCAGCCCAGGCUUCCCUAUCACCCCACAGAGAGCCUCGGAGCCACCCUUGGGAGCUUCACAGCUGCCUGGCUUUGGGAUCUUUGCUCUGAGAGACCCCAAGAUGGAGCAGCAGCCCCUAUGCUGUGGCCCACCGGGCAGGCUUGGUUUUAUGCCAUCUUCCCAGCUACCCCUUGGGGUACGGGUUUUAUCACCCCCUUAUACAGAAGGGGUCAGGGAUCAAAGCAGGCAAGCCAUUUGCCCAGAACCACACAGCUGUUGCCAGAGUUGGGAUCCAAAUGCAGGACUGUCCUUGGCCAUACCGCCUUCUGGAUGUCCCUACAGUGGCUCUGCCCAGUCAAGAGCCCCUGUUGCCCGGGGAGACCCCUCUUCACAUCCUCAUGACAAUGACAAUCCCACGAGUUAAACAUUUCACAUGGAUUCUUGCCUUUAGUUUUUCCCAACAACCUGCAGGGGAGGGGCAAUCAUCACACCCAUUUUACAGACGAAGAAACUGAGGCACCCAGUGGU